rnacentral:rRNA from 1 species
CCUACGGGUGGCUGCAGUGGGGGAUAUUGCACAAUGGGGGAAACCCUGAUGCAGCGACGCCGCGUGUGGGAAGACGGUCCUCUGGAUUGUAAACCACUGUCCCCAGGGACGAAGAUGACGGUACCUGGGGAGGAAGCUCCGGCUAACUACGUGCCAGCAGCCGCGGUAAUACGUAGGGAGCGAGCGUUGUCCGGAAUUACUGGGUGAAAAGGGAGCGUAGGCGGGACUGCAAGUUGGGUGUAAAAUCUACCGGCUCAACCGGUAGCCGCACUCAAAACUGCAGUUCUUGAGUGAAGUAGAGGCAGGGGGAAUGCCUAGGGUAGGGGGGAAAUGCGUAGAUAUUGGGAGGAACACUAGGGGGGAGGGCGGCCUGCUGGGCUUUUACUGACGCUGAGGCUCGAAGGUGUGGGGAGAAAAAGGGAUUAGAUACCCUAGGAGUC